UUUCCGUAGGUGAACCUGCGGGAGGAUCAUUACUGAGUGAGGGCCCUCUGGGUCCAACCUCCCACCCGUGUUUAUUGUACCUUGUUGCUUCGGUGAGCCCGCCUCACGGCCGCCGGGGGGCAUCUGCCCCCGGGCCCGCGCUCGCCGUAGACACCCUUGAACUCUGUCUGAAGUUUGCAGUCUGAGCGAAAACUAAAUAAGUUAAAACUUUCAACAACGGAUCUCUUGGUUCCG
rnacentral:misc_RNA from 1 species